CCCGAAAUUCACCCUGGACUGUACCAGCUGUGUGACGCCAGUUUGCAGACGGUGUGGAAACAGGCAGCAAGUUGGAGUCAACCCAUAAGCCAUCAACUGCUGACUGACGAUGCAGGCAGUCACCGGUAGAGGAUAAGAAAUGCAUCCUAAGGGCAAAAAUGCAUUGCUCAAGAGAAGCUGGAUCCCACAUGACAACCGCAAUUCAAAUCCGCAGCUCCAUCAACCUGAAACACCCUGGGCACAUGUGCAAGUGCCCGAGAUUCAG